GGGGCUGUUUUGGUUUUGACGGUAAUGAUAAUUGGAGUGUAAGCAUGUCGAGCUUUGAGUUUUGGCUCGUAAAUCUCAAUUCUCAAAAACAAUAAACGGCGAAAAUAAUUACGCGCUUGCUGCUUAAUCUCACUCAGUGAAUUAAACUUAAUUCUGGGGUCUAGGUACUUCAGAACAAGCUGUCUCUCAAAGAGCGAUGUUUAACCGCGCUUGACAUAGAGGCAUCGUAAAUGUUGAACUAGCAUGGUUGGCGCUUCGAUGGCCAUGCGAAAUAAAGAAGAUAAGGAUUGGUUCGGCUGCUCUUUGCCAGGCCACUCACGAAAACCAAUAAAGAGAUAAGCAUGUAGAAAACAUUUGGGUUUCUUAUUCGGACGCGGGUUCGAGUCCCGCCAGCUCCACAA
rnacentral:tmRNA from 1 species